GAUUAGAUACCCCUGUAGUCCUAGCCGUAAACGAUACUCGCUAGGUGUCGGCCACGGUGCGACCGUUGUCGGUGCCGUAGGGAAGCCGUGAAGCGAGCCACCUGGGAAGUACGGCCGCAAGGCUGAAACUUAAAGGAAUUGGCGGGGGAGCACCACAACAGGUGGAGCCUGCGGUUUAAUCGGACUCAACGCCGGAAAUCUCACCGGAUAAGACAGCUGAAUGAUAGUCGGGCUGAAGACUCUACUUGACUAGCUGAGAGGUGGUGCAUGGC
rnacentral:rRNA from 1 species